rnacentral:misc_RNA from 1 species
AAGGAUCAUUAUUGAAUAAACUUGGUUGGGUUGUUGCUGGCUCUUCGGAGCAUGUGCACGCCUAGCGCCAUUUUUACCACCUGUGCACUUCUUGUAGAUUUGAAACACCCUUUCGAGGAAACUCGGUUUGAGGACUGCUAUGCGAAAGCUAAGCUUUCCUUGCGUUUCAAGUCUAUGUUUUCAUAUACCCCAUCAGAAUGUUUUAGAAUGUCAUUAAUGGGCUUUAUUGCCUCUAAUUAAUACAACUUUCAACAACGGAUCUCUUGGUUCUC